rnacentral:rRNA from 1 species
GACGAACGCUGGCGGCGUGCCUAAUACAUGCAAGUCGAACGCAGUGGGGACGGGUGAGUAACACGUGGGUAACCUCCCUCCACUUUGGAUAACCCCGAGAAAUCGGGGCUAACCUGAUAGUGGGGGAUGGGCUCGCGGCCUAUCAGUUUGUUGGUGAGGUAGUGGCUCACCAAGGCGAUGACGGGUAGCCGGCCUGAGAGGGCGACCGGCCACACUGGGACUGAGACACGGCCCAGACUCCUACGGGAGGCAGCAGUGGGGAAUAUUGCACAAUGGGCGAAAGCCUGAUGCAGCGACGCCGCGUGAGUGAAGAAGGUUUUCGGAUCGUAAAACUCUGUUGUUAGAGAAGCGGUAUCUAACCAGAAAGCCACGGCUAACUACGUGCCAGCAGCCGCGGUAAUAC